rnacentral:rRNA from 1 species
AUUGAACGCUGGCGGCAGGCUUAACACAUGCAAGUCGAGCGGAGAUGAGGUGCUUGCACCUUAUCUUAGCGGCGGACGGGUGAGUAAUGCUUAGGAAUCUGCCUAUUAGUGGGGGACAACAUUCCGAAAGGAAUGCUAAUACCGCAUACGUCCUACGGGAGAAAGCAGGGGAUCUUCGGACCUUGCGCUAAUAGAUGAGCCUAAGUCGGAUUAGCUAGUUGGUGGGGUAAAGGCCUACCAAGGCGACGAUCUGUAGCGGGUCUGAGAGGAUGAUCCGCCACACUGGGACUGAGACACGGCCCAGACUCCUACGGGAGGCAGCAGUGGGGAAUAUUGGACAAUGGGGGGAACCCUGAUCUAGCCAUGCCGCGUGUGUGAAGAAGGCCUUAUGGUUGUAAAGCACUUUAAGCGAGGAGGAGGCUACUGAGACUAAUACUCUUGGAUAGUGGACGUUACUCGCAGAAUAAGCACUGGCUAACUCUGUGCCAGCCGCCGCGGUAAAAC